ACCAGGCCAGUUUUGGUAGCUCCACUUCCCCCUGGGUGGGGCAGCAAACACCAAUAAAAAGGGCCUCUGCUGCACGACAGCUAUCCUCCUGCUACUCGAGUUCUGAUUGACUUUGGCGAACCUGAUAUUAAGACUCCAGAAAGAUGUCUUCUCAAGAGCAGCAGUGCAAGCAGCAGUGCAAGAUACCUCCAGUGUGCCCAACAAAGUGCCCUGAUCCUUGCUCACCUAAAAAGGGUACAGACCCUUGCCAACCUGUAAAGUGCCCUGAGAAAUGCACUCCUGUGCCACCUCCCGAGCAAUGCCAGCAGAAGUGCCCACCCAAGAACAAGUAACAGCUUCAGGUUUUAUCUGCCUCUGGAAAGGAUAAGGACAAUCAGCUCAUCUAGUUCCACAGCUCCAUCUUCAUCUUCUCUUCAAAGCCUAUCAUGGAUACAGGAGAAGCUUUCCACUCUUCAGCCUGCAGUGUGCGUGUGGGGAUUCCUGACGGUCAGAGGUUUCCUAUCUGAGUCUGCUAUGCUGCUUCCCUCUGGGAGGUAUCCGAAAAAGCAUCCCAGAGCCUCAGAGGGAAGGGCAGUAUCUCUCCUCCUGAGCGCCCUCUGAGGAUUCUCUCAGGGUCUUCUGUGUGUGUCUGUCACCUGGGCAGUGGUUUCUGCCAGAUGAGCAAUUGUUACUUAUCCUCCAUUUCUUGAAUAAAAUACACUUCUUUUGUGUGAUAGUAAAA